rnacentral:rRNA from 1 species
UACGUAGGGGGCAAGCGUUGUCCGGAAUCAUUGGGCGUAAAGCGCGCGUAGGCGGCCCGGUAAGUCCGUUGUAAAAGUCGAAGGCUCAACCUUCGAAAGCCGAUGGAUACUGCCGGGCUAGAGUCCGGAAGAGGCGAGUGGAAUUCCUGGUGCAGCGGUGGAAUGCGCAGAUAUCAGGAGGAACACCCAUAGCGAAGGCAGCUCGCUGGGACGGUACUGACGCUGAGGCGCGAAAGCGUGGGGAGCGAACAGG